GGAAAAUCUGAUGUGCCAAGAAGUGUUCCAUACCAUUCUGAGAACUCUGGAUACCUGCUCAGACAGCUCUGUUUCAGCUAAACAGUAACAUCUGGGAGGGAAGCUUAAUGUGGAAUCAAGGAUGAAGUUUAACACAGGAAUGAGAAGUAGAGCACAUAGCUGCUAAGAUAAGAAUGUAAUCAUCGCAAGGCCAGGAGAUGCGUUUGGUCUGUGCUGCAUCUCAAGCAGGACAAUGGCUGGAACAUAGUAGGGUCUCCAAAAAUGUUUGUUGAACGUUGCUGAUGGCGGCAUCCUGGAGUAGGAAAAAGACUGAAGAGUGGAAAAAGAAAUCCUGACAUGAAUUCUGGGCAAAGGCAAGCAGUAGCUGACUUGGAAAAUGAUUACACUAUAGAUGGCAGCACACCACUACCUACGAUCCGAUCACCAGCCUGGGUUUGUAAGUCAGAGCUGUUGGUCAGGAGAUGGCAGCUAAUGAGUAAUCAGUCCAAACUGAAUGGCAAAUUAAUGUCUUCAUUAAGUGAACAAACCAGCUUCCUCCAUAAACAAGGUCAGAG
rnacentral:lncRNA from 1 species